rnacentral:lncRNA from 1 species
AUUAUCUAAAUUAUCUAAAUUAAUUAUCUAAAUUCUUCCAAAAAUCUGGAAGUCCUGAUUCUGUGAAUGUAAUUCUAGACUUCCAGAUUUUGGGAAGAUUAAGAUACUCCACUGGUUUAUAUUAAAAUCACAUAUUUAAUUUAAUAAAUAUUCAAUUUAAAAAUUUUAAGGUGAUCUUUCUUUGGUUUAUAUGCCAAAGAUAUGUUCAAUAUAUUAAAAUAAAUGAUUCUCUUAAAUUCAUUUUUAAAUAUAAGCUACCUUAAUUUGUAUAUAUUUUGUUAAAUUGUUUUUAUAAAACUUAAACUGCUUAUUCUUUUCUGUUAUAAAAUGUCUCAUUGCCUCUUGUUAAUGUUUCAUAUAUGGUACAUAUAUCCACAUAUUAAAAAGUACCUAAUAUUUUCUCAUUUGUAAUAUUCUAAUUCAUCCAUAAGAUAAAUACUGGAAUGACUAACACUAAUGAAAAUGUUAAUUAUGUUUAAUCAAAGAAGUUAACUUUUUUCUUCCAUGUUAUAUGGCUGAGUCUUUGGCAAGAUGCAAAAUGGAUUGUUUGGUGAAAUCUCUUCAAAUGAUAAGUGAUGGUUUAGAUGAUUUUGACCAGAUGAUAUCAACAACAAAAUUGUUCAGAUAAGAGAUAAAAUCAUGAUCAUACAUUCUCAAGCUAUUAUUGAAAGUCCUCCUUAUUAAAAUUCUAAUUAUACUACAUAAAUAAAGGAUUACCAAAAAAAUCAUAACAGUGAUUCAUACAAAAGGAAAUUUAGACUGUGUUAAAAAAAAUACUAGAGGAUUUUGGAGAAGUAGAAAAUUUAUUCCAAUAAAAAGUUCUCUGAAUGAAAAUAAAUUUCUGCAUUAUCUUAAUAUGUUGUAUGGGUCUUUUUGUUUUACAGUCCCUUGAU